GGGCUCGGCCUGGAAUUAUGGCUCUCUACCGGAGUUCACUCGGCCUCCAGCUCUCCCACGAACACACAAUCUCUACCUUUCUCCUCUUCUCGCCGGCCCCAGCUGCUGCCGAGUCUCCGGUCAGUCCGCCGGCUUCCGCUACCUCGACAACGUCCCCCACCAUCACGGUUUCCACCGCAAUCUGAGCUCACCGCCACCAGCGACCACCACUACCUCCCUGAGACCAUCGGAUUCCAGUCUUGCAGAGUCGCGUAAAACCCGCAUUCCAGAAACCAUCAGGCAAAAUGAGCGGUCCUGCGCAUGCCAACUACGUUCUUCCCUUCUUCUUCCUCUUCUCUGCCAUGGGAGCAGCCGAUGCCUCCUCUCAAUGCUCUGAUAACAAAGGUCCCUCAGGUUCCCCAUUGGUCAGAAAUAUAAGUGAUAUACCUCAAAGUAACUUCGGGAGAGGAGGUCUGGCGCACAUAACCAUUGCAGGUGCUCUUUCAUAUGGAAUGAAAGAGGUUGAGCUUUGGCUUCAGACUUUUGCUCCGGGCACACGGACACCAAUCCACAGGCACUCCUGUGAAGAGGUAUUUGUUGUCUUAAAAGGGAGGGGCACUCUUUUGCUUGGCUCAAGUUCAUUUAAAAAUCCAGGAAAGCCUCAGGAGCUUGCCAUCUAUUCAAAUAGCACAUUCUCUAUACCCAUGAAUGAUCCGCAUCAGGUUUGGAAUACAGAUGAGAAUGAGGAUUUGCAGAUGCUAGUUGUAAUAUCACGUCCACCUAUCAAAGUGUUCAUCUAUGAUGACUGGAGCAUGCCCCAUACUGCAGCCAAAUUGAAAUUUCCUUACUAUUGGGAUGAGGAAUGUUUUUAUGAACCUAAGGAUGAGCUGUGAUGUCCACGCAUGAUGUCCUUUCUUGCAGUCACCUUGGUCUACCUGUUUAGUUCUCGACCUUUCACUUCUGUAUGCUGGUGUAAUGAUUUCAAAAGGUUGAUUACAUGUGAUCAAUUUGUGCUUGAAACAAAGGUUGUAACAAAGGCUGAACAAGAUUUCAGAUUAUAAAGUGACCCCUCUAUGUCAUAUUUCUGGUAUGGGAUCAGGCUACUUCGUGGAUCAUUUGCUGCUGCAUCUCUUUUUCUUAAUGACAAGACACUGUAAUUCCGACCAGGAAACCAUUAUCAUGCUUCUACUUCCAUGAAUUGCACAUUACUGUUUCUGAAUCAGCUUUGAUCACCAAAAUCCAUUCCAGGAAAUUCAGAAAGCCAGCUUUUACUCGCCCAAAUUAUGUGUCAGUGAUCAGCACUGAUGUAAGCUCUGCAGGCCGAGAUUUGUUGUUCUUGCCCAUCGUAUGUAAGCAUAUAGACAAGGUUAAUCCUUAGAAAAGGCACUUCAUAUAAGCACCUUUAUAGUAUUCGGAUUUCAGAAGCAUCAUAUACAAAGAUAAUAUAGCUAGAGAAGACGGCUGGAGUGAAAAUUGUUGAAGUUUUCCAGUGAUUGGAUUUUCUACAGUUCCUUCAGAUCUCUCACCCUGACAAUAUUUCUGAUCAGGAAGGCAAUUCGAGGAUACAAGUGGAAAAAAAAGGGAUACAUGCCAAUUGGUAUCAAUUGGCCAGCAACCAAAAUGCAUGGUCUCAUCAGCAUCGAGCCCUUCUUUAACAUCAUAGAAUUUCUAUGCUGGACACCUGUCAGUGCAAGCAUAAGAAUUAUGCUGAAAAUGAGUCUGAUUUUGUUUCAUUAGAUCAAGUUCCAUAAGACAUCUUACUCGAGGAUCCCAUCUGGCUGACAGGGAUGGUAUCAGUGAUGGCGACAGAAGUGAAGGACUAAAGCUAACCUUGUGCUAUUGGGUGAUCUUGACUCAUGAGGUUGAAAAAAGAGAGAAAUCAUGAAGAACACAUGCAGCAGUCAAAUGACAAAUGCAGCAUCUACCAUCAAGAAAUGAAAUCAGCACAAUCGUAGAAUUGGCUCUGAAUUGUUUAUUUCCAGAAUAGCUGUUGGACAUUGCCAAUAGACAACACUUGCACCAUAAUUUUCAGCACACUAA